rnacentral:rRNA from 1 species
CUACGGAGGGUGCAAGCGUUAUUCGGAAUCACUGGGCGUAAAGGACGCGUAGGCGGGUUGGCAAGUCAGAUGUGAAAUCCUACAGCUUAACUGUAGAACUGCAUUUGAAACUGCUAACCUAGAGUAUGGGAGGGGGAGAUGGAAUUAGUGGUGUAGGUGUAAAAUCCGUAGAUAUCACUAGGAAUACCGAAAGCGAAGGCGAUCUCCUGGAACAUAACUGACGCUAAGGCGUGAAAGCGUGGGGAGCAAACAGGAUUAGAAACCCUUGUAGUCC